UGGGCCGUAGCCAAGCGGUAAGGCAGCGGGUUUUGAUCCCGCCAUGCGCAGGUUCGAAUCCUGCCGGCCCAGCCA
rnacentral:tRNA from 1 species